UGGGGAAUUUUGGACAAUGGGCGCAAGCCUGAUCCAGCCAUGCCGCGUGCGGGAAGAAGGCCUUCGGGUUGUAAACCGCUUUUGUCAGGGAAGAAACGCUCUGGGCUAAUACCCCGGGGUAAUGACGGUACCUGAAGAAUAAGCACCGGCUAACUACGUGCCAGCAGCCGCGGUAAUACGUAGGGUGCAAGCGUUAAUCGGAAUUACUGGGCGUAAAGCGUGCGCAGGCGGUUAUGCAAGACAGAUGUGAAAUCCCCGGGCUCAACCUGGGAACUGCAUUUGUGACUGUAUAGCUAGAGUACGGUAGAGGGGGAUGGAAUUCCGCGUGUAGCAGUGAAAUGCGUAGAUAUGCGGAGGAACACCGAUGGCGAAGGCAAUCCCCUGGACCUGUACUGACGCUCAUGCACGAAAGCGUGGGGAGCAAACAGGAUUAGAUACCCAAGUAGUCCCUGAGCGGGCUGGCAAGGCGCAU
rnacentral:rRNA from 1 species